UCAGGAACAGCUGUUAUUCAUUCAGAAGUAAAAGAUACUUAAAACUGGACUUCUUCAAGACCAUGACAUAGUCUUAACUCUCGGUAGGAAACUAGCUGGCAAGUAAAUGUCAACGAACAGAACAAAACAGUACUGUUGAUCUGUUGAAGUUAGAGCACAUGGAUGACACCAAGAAUCACAGAAAGGAUCUCACCCUGUUGCCCAGGCUGGAGUUCAAUAGCACAAUCUUGGCUCACUGCAACCUUCACCUCCCAGGUUCAAGUGAUUCUCCUGCCUCAGCCUUCAGAGUAGCUGGGAUUACAGGUGUGCGACACCAUGCCCAUCUAAUUUUUUUUUAUCUUUAGUAGAGACAGGUUUCACCACGUUGGCCAGGCUGGUCUCAAAAUCCUGACCUCAUGAUCCACCCACCUGGGCCUCCCAAAAGCACUGUCUUUAAGCCUCACUUUUGAGAUGACAUACAUAUAUAGAAGUUUAAUGAAAACUCUUUAAUAAAUCUCUAAUUAAAGUUUGAGACAGAGUGUGUUUUAGCAGUUGAGAAAUAGGAACUAUUACUCUAGGUUUGAUUUGGUAGGAAGACUUCAC
rnacentral:lncRNA from 1 species